rnacentral:lncRNA from 1 species
GCAGCCAUCUGCACCCAAACCAGAUGCCAAAAUAACCAGGGAAGCCCAAGAGUGACGGGGCCCAAGACCUUCCGCUACACCUCCCGUCGGACAACUAGCCAUAUCUUCUGAGAAGCCUCAGAUAACCCUUGACAUGACAGGAAAAGGACAACAACCUGUGUGGGUUCCCUCCCGACAACUGAAAUUGCACCAUAACUCCCAAGAAGAAACACUCCCAGAAACAAAAGGCAAAGACCCCUCUGAAACCAAAGAGCAAGUAUCACCGCCUGACACAUAAACUUCAUGACCUCGACAUUGAGACAAAAUCUCGCCGUGUGACCUACAACACCACUCAUUUAACUCCACCAACUUGGGGUCAAAUAAAGGUCUUAUCCCAUCAACAGAAAAAUCAUUAAGAGAAAAAUGAAUCCCCAAAACGACAGUCUGCAGAUCCCGCAAGGAAUCCGAAGACAAGUCCAAAGUCAACGACAAGCAAUGAUGGCAAUGGUGAUCCUAGUUAAUAAAAAGCGGGGAGAUGUGGGUGGCAAGCCACCCAGGUGCCGAGGCAAGAGACCGAGAGCACGAGCUGUUCCAGUGUAAUAAAAUAUAUAAAAUAACAAGAGUUAUACUGAUAUAGCUCAUAGAUAUGAUUAUAUAUAAAUACCAUUAAUCAUUAGUUUGUAGUAAUUACUCUUUAUUCAAAUAUUAUAAUAAUCCUCACUCUACAAUCAUAACCUAGAAAAAGGCAGGCCAUGCAGAGAUAGGAGCUGAGGGGACAUGGUGAGAAGUGACAAGAAGACAAGAGUGUGAGCCUUUUGUUAUGCCCAGGCAGGGCCACCAGAGGGCUCCUUGGUCUAGCAGUAAUGCCAGCGUCUGGGAAGAUGCCCGUACCAAGCGGACCAUGGUCUAGUGGUAGCGUCAGUGCCAAGGAAAAGCACCUGCUACUGAGCAGACCAGGAAAGGGAGUCUCCCUUUCCCCAGGGGAGUUUAGAGAAGACUCUACUCCACCAUCUCUUAUGGAGGGCCUGACAUAAGUCAGGCCUGCCUGCAGUUAUCCAGAGGCCUGACCGUCUCCCUGUGAUGCUGUGCUUCAGUAGUCAUGCUCCUGGUCUGCUUUCAUGUUCCAUCCUGUACACCUGGCUCUGCCUUCUAGAUAGCAAUAGCAGAAUUACUGAAAGUAUUAAAAGUCUCUGAAAUGCAGAAAUAA